AGGGCAAGGCAACUUUAGCCUUUAAAAACAAAAAGGGGCAAGAAAAACGUUCAAAAGAUAAACCGGAUUAAACCGGAGUUUAAUCCGGGUAAAAUCAAAACAGCUUGCUUCAGCCUGGGGAUAAACAAACAGAAACUGGGAAACAAAGAGUUCAAAAGAAUGCAACUAAUUGGCAGCAGAUGCCUCUCUGCUGCCAGCACUAUGUUUUGAGUAACUAGGAGUCACUCCUUCACACAGCAAGGCAAAUUUCCAAUACAAACUCAGCAGCCAAGGAUUGAAGCAGUAGCGUAGUCCCAGUUCGUUCCGAAGGUCGAGAGGCAGAAUCAGACGUUUGCAGUUUUCCAAGUCCAAUAGGAGAAAGCGAGCCCGUAGUCAGUUUUCAGUCCGUAAAUCCAGAGUAGCAGAUGGCGUCCGUCAAGAAGACGACGGAAGGUCAAAGCUAUUGAGAUUAAGCAGAGGUUUUGCACAAACAAAAGCCCACACAAUUCCUCCCGCCGUCUGAACCCAAAUUCCAAAACAACUUACGUAUCAGCACACGAAAACACACCAGUCUUCAGGAAAGCGUCCCACACAGAUCCCAAGCGUUCGUCCAGAUUACCUUGCCCAACGCAAUUUGCAAUUGCUCCCAAGCCUCAUUUUAUGCCAGUUACAAAUCCUCAUCACUAUCAGCUGCCCUCCUUAACCCGGGCGUUUCCUCAUCACUUUCCUCAUCAGAGCUGGAGCAUCCCCAGCUGUGGAUCCCGUCCCAUCCCUCCAGCUUGUCCAUGGGUCUAAUCCUGAAGGUCCCCAAUCAUCCUCCAUCCCAUCAUUGCCAGUGGCACCCAACUCCUCCCUUACCCGAGUCCAAUCCAUCUCAUCCUCUUCCGAGCUAACCAGCUCUUCCUC
rnacentral:lncRNA from 11 species